UGUGAUCCUCAAAUUCACGGCCCGACCAGUGAAGGAAGGAUCUGAUGUGAUUCUUCAUUGUAUUAAUAUUAAUGAUGAGAAACCGCAAACAUGUGACUUCAUCAAAGAUGGCCAGAGCAUUAAAACCACCUAUGAUAAGAACAACGUCCUGACGCUUCAGGAUGUCUCCACGUCUGAUGAAGGAUUCUACAAAUGCAGCAUUUCUGGAGUUGGAGCCUCUGCAGAAAGCUGGCUGUCUGUCGUCAAACCAGAACAUGAAUUUGAUGAGGAACCUCAGCCUGUGCGGUAUUUGACCCCUGUCAUCAUUUUGUCGUGCAUCUUCGGAUCCUUGCUCUUGCUUGCUGGACUGAUUUUCUUUAAGAAACACAAAGCCUUGAAGCAUGAGACCAGCACAGAUCUAGACAGUGUUACUUAUGCUGUUGUCAACAAACCAAGGAGGAGAAACG